CUAAGCUCCCCGCUCCUGCAGUGUUGCGCGCGCAUCAGAAGGUGGCGGUGACGCAGUUCCUACCCAACCGCUUUGCCUGCGGGAGCCGUUAAAACAGGGCCGUCACGUGGCCGCGCCCCCCACGAACAUCAUUGCCUCCCGCGCGCCGCACCCAGCCCCGCCUCCAGCACGUGACUGAGAGCCGCGGUGGUGCCCGACCCCCAGUCACGUGAGGGGCAGGGGUUGCCUGUGGCACAGCCCGACCUGGGGAGGGGGCGGGCGCCCUUUAAACAGCGCCCUCCCUCCCUCCCUCCCUCCAUCGCUCGCUCUAGGGAGGCAUUAGAAAUACCGGAACCACAGACCUCACCCAGGAACAGAGACAAGACCAGCAUUUGAAAGACAAAGGACCCUGCAAAACCAGCAACUCUCAUCAUUACAGACACCAGAAACUGCACAUCCCUGCAUGGAGCACACAUGCUCAGUAUGCCAGGGGCUGACCCUUGCCUGGGCAUGCCUCCUGUCAUUAGGAUCACACAAGGUCUGCCCCUAUAAAAAGGGGUAGUGAAGACAGAUCCAGUGGGAACGCCAUUUCCAUCUGGACCAGCACCAUGCCACACCGCCCAUCCACCCAGAGGCCCUGCCGGCGACCCGCCUCUGGACACCACCUACUGGACAAGGACCCCUUUCAGCCUGGAUAGGUAGAUAUUACCUGCACACCACCUCCUACAAUUUGGACUCUCUCUGUCUCUCUCCUCCUGGAUUUCAGUGGACUUCAGCCCCUGCACUAAGCCUCUUUAACCCCUGCUGCCAUUGGGUGGGUGGGUGCAAGGGAACCAAUUUGGCAUUGUGUCACCAUCUACCCUGUUCAAUAAAACCAUUGUCAUUUGCAACCCCAA